CCCAGACUCCUACGGGAGGCAGCAGUGGGGAAUAUUGCACAAUGGGGGAAACCCUGAUGCAGCGACGCCGCGUGAGUGAAGAAGUAAUUCGUUAUGUAAAGCUCUAUCAGCAGGGAAGAAAAUGACGGUACCUGAGUAAGAAGCCCCGGCUAACUACGUGCCAGCAGCCGCGGUAAUACGUAGGGGGCAAGCGUUAUCCGGAUUUACUGGGUGUAAAGGGAGCGUAGACGGCAGUGCAAGUCUGGAGUGAAAGGCGGGGGCUCAACCCCCGGACUGCUCUGGAAACUGUACGGCUGGAGUGCAGGAGAGGUAAGUGGAAUUCCUAGUGUAGCGGUGAAAUGCGUAGAUAUCAUGAAGAACUCCGAUCGCGAAGGCAAGUGUCCGGGGUGCAACUGACGCUGAGGCUCGAAAGUGCGGGUAUCAAACAGGAUUAGAUACCCGAGUAACC
rnacentral:rRNA from 1 species